rnacentral:rRNA from 1 species
GACGAACGCUGGCGGCGUGCUUAACACAUGCAAGUCGAACGAUGAACCCGGAGCUUGCUCCGGUGGAUUAGUGGCGAAUGUGUGAGUAACACGUGAGUAACCUGCCCUUGACUCUGGGAUAACUGCGGGAAACUGUAGCUAAUACCGGAUACGACCCUCGGCGGCAUCGCCAGGGGGUGGAAAGAAUUUCGGUCAAGGAUGGACUCGCGGCCUAUCAGCUAGUUGGUGAGGUAACGGCUCACCAAGGCGACGACGGGUAGCCGGCCUGAGAGGGUGACAAGAACCACUGGGACUGAGACACGGCCCCACAAAAGACGGGAGGCAGCAGUGGGGAAUCAAGAACAAUGGGCGCAAGCCUGAUGCAGCAACGCCGCGUGAGGAAUGACGGAAGGAGGGUUGUAAACCUCUUUGAGGAGGGAAGAAGCGAAAGUGACGGUACCUGCAGAACAAGCACCGGCUAACUACGUGCCAGCCGCCGCUGUAA